GGCAGACGAACUCCGUCAGCCCCCGCUCCACCUCCAGCGUCUCGCUGCACCCCGCGCAGCGCACCUCCAGGAGCUCCGUGGUGUCCUCGGCCGCCGCCGCCGUGGCUAACGGCGGUGGCGCCAUCGCAUUCGAGCAAGCUUAGGGCGUGGUUUCCGUUCCGGCGGCGGGGUCGGCACGGGCACGGUGGAUGUGGGCUAGGGGUUUGCGGCCCCACGGUGGGUUUGGGUUUUGCGUUCUUUGGCGCUGGGCUGCCUUCCACUGCUGCAGGUACA
rnacentral:lncRNA from 1 species